GCUUUAAAUUGUAAAAAACUGGAUUCAACAGUUUGCAGUUGCAGUAGCUAAGACUUAUAAAACUAACUUUCUAUCAUAUUUUCUGAAACUGACUCUAUGUUCUAGUAGAACUACAUGAAGCAGGUAAUU